ensembl:lncRNA
CUUAACUUGCAUUUGGACAAAUUGUGUAAUUAUCAGGUAAAAUAAUAAUGUAAUCGUCUGUAAUGGCCUUUGUGGUGUCGAGAUCUCGAGGUUGGAAAGAGGCAAUACACAGGGACAACUCUGGAGGCAGAUAUUUAUAUUUAUUUCAUACAAUAACAUUAAAUAAAAAAAGUUAAAUACGCAAACACACAAAGGUAAAUUAGCUAUAUGACUCCUUGACCUGUGUAAAUGUCAGAUAAAUUGUAUUAUUAUUCUCCUGCACGAUAUUGUUUAUGUAUUAAGAAGACAUUGUAGUCCUGCAGUGCCAUCUUGUGGUCUGUUCCGCUUUUAUUUUGUUAAGCGAGCGUUUCUUCUUCUUCUGCGGUUUUUCUGACGCCGAACUUCCUGUUUCUUUGUCUAAACAACGUAGUGCUCACGCAUCGUCGGAGAAACGCUCCGAGCAGCGGCGUGUGUGUGUGUGAGCUGGAGAGCAUGCUAGCGGAUGGCUAACACUUAAAUUAGCGCCCUUGGAACGGCGGAAUGAGUUUUCACGGUGCUUAUGGUACACGGCGCUGGUCGAGAGUGAGAAUAAAUCAACACCCGUUUGAAACUCUCUGCGUCUUGCUGAAUGAAUCCAAGGGGCCGCUACAACCUGCAUAAAUACAAAUGUUUAUAAUGUUAUAAAACAUACAGCCUUUUCCGUGCAGCCUCCGGCUCUGCAGACACAUACUAUUGGAAUAUUUUGAGUGAAAUCAUCCUUUAAAAUUCCCUCUCGGUGCAGCCUCUGGCUCUGCAGACAUACCCUUCUCCCGGUCCGUGGGGCUCUCUGCAGCUGCUGAUCAGUGGAUUGGUCGCGGCUGUGAGAGUCCCACACCUGUAGCGCAUUCCCAUCUGCUGCUAUAAAGACCGGCUUCACACGGCAGGGGACGUGGGACCAUACUGCCUUGUCUCCAGCCUAUAAGACGACGCCGCAGCGCUGAAGCAGCAGCGUGUUUCCCCCGCUGUCCUUUGUGGAAGGAUGAGGACCCCUGACGCCCUAGUCGAAAGAAGGCGUGGACCUCCCCCUCCUCCCUGGACUUCCCGAUUGGGCGGCGUGAGCCCUGGACUGUUGCUCACCUGGAGCCUGACUUCCCCCCUCCCUGAACAUUGUGAGUUCUGGCCAUAGCUGGCAUUGUUGCUGUUCAUGAAUUUGUUUUCGUGAAUAAAGACCUGUUUCAGUUGCCGUCCUGCCUACCACCUGCUCUGUGUGCACUCACCUUGGGUUCAAAUCCCCCGCAUACCUUAACAGUCUCAGUCAUUAAAUUUGUGUGUCCCUGUAUAGUUUCU